rnacentral:rRNA from 1 species
ACUCCUACGGGAGGCAGCAGUGGGGAAUAUUGCACAAUGGGGGAAACCCUGAUGCAGCAACGCCGCGUGAGUGAUGACGGUCUUCGGAUUGUAAAGCUCUGUCUUUAGGACGAUAAUGACUGUACCUAAGACGAUGUACCGUU